rnacentral:misc_RNA from 1 species
GACGUGCUUGGUAUGAUGCUACCAAGCUAACAACUGAGGUCCUAAAUCUCUAUAAGAAGGCGUUGUGUGUGGAAGGGUGGGAUGAAGCGUUGCAUGAGAUAGCGAGAUUAUCGUACGAGACCGUACUUUCUCCUCAAAAUGCCGAAGCUUUGGUGAAGUCUCUGGAAGAGAUGCCUGUGCUGGUGGUUGGCGGUGUCGAGGAUGCUCUUGUC